UGACUGAGCUGAAGGCAAAGGGUCCCCGGGCUCCCCACGUGGCGGGCGGCCCGCCCUCCCCCGAGGUCGGAUCCCCACUGCUGUGUCGCCCAGCCGCAGGUCCGUUCCCGGGGAGCCAGACCUCGGACACCUUGCCUGAAGUUUCGGCCAUACCUAUCUCCCUGGACGGGCUACUCUUCCCUCGGCCCUGCCAGGGACAGGACCCCUCCGACGAAAAGACGCAGGACCAGCAGUCGCUGUC
rnacentral:lncRNA from 1 species